rnacentral:rRNA from 1 species
AUUGAACGCUGGCGGCAGGCCUAACACAUGCAAGUCGAGCGGAUGAAGGGAGCUUGCUCCUGGAUUCAGCGGCGGACGGGUGAGUAAUGCCUAGGAAUCUGCCUGGUAGUGGGGGAUAACGUCCGGAAACGGGCGCUAAUACCGCAUACGUCCUGAGGGAGAAAGUGGGGGAUCUUCGGACCUCACGCUAUCAGAUGAGCCUAGGUCGGAUUAGCUAGUUGGUGGGGUAAAAGCCUACCAAGGCGACGAUCCGUAACUGGUCUGAGAGGAUGAUCAGUCACACUGGAACUGAGACACGGUCCAGACUCCUACGGGAGGCAGCAGUGGGGAAUAUUGGACAAUGGGCGAAAGCCUGAUCCAGCCAUGCCGCGUGUGUGAAGAAGGUCUUCGGAUUGUAAAGCACUUUAAGUUGGGAGGAAGGGCGGUAAGUUAAUACCUUGCUGUUUUGACGUUACCAACAGAAUAAGCACCGGCUAACUUCGUG